rnacentral:rRNA from 1 species
UACGGAGGAUGCAAGCGUUGUCCGGAAUUAUUGGGCGUAAAGGGCUCGUAGGCGGUCUGUCACGUCGGGAGUGAAAACUCGGGGCUUAACCCCGAGCCUGCUUCCGAUACGGGCAGACUAGAGGUAGGUAGGGGAGAACGGAAUUCCUGGUGUAGCGGUGGAAUGCGCAGAUAUCAGGAGGAACACCGGUGGCGAAGGCGGUUCUCUGGGCCUUACCUGACGCUGAGGAGCGAAAGCGUGGGGAGCGAACAGG